GCUGCAGGUCUAGGUUUUCCCAUUUGAAAUUCAACCCAGAGCCAUCUGCCAGCCCAAGAGCCUGGCUUGAGGCCGGCUUCUCACCUGCGUCCGGACACCUGCGCAUGCCUUGGUGCCUCUCUGGUGAUAAUGGUGGCCGGCUGGGCAGACUCAGGCACUGGAUGGCUCACAGACCACUCAGGAAGGCCACAUGGGGGUGGGGAGGCAGGUGGCCAUGCACACUGGCCCUCUCGAAGUGGCAAUGGGAUUCCUGAGCUGACUCACUGACCACCACUCUCACCCUCACUCUGAUCCCCAUGUGACUCCAAGAACAACAUGUCUAGGGACAUUGACUCACUCUAACCAAACAGAACUGGUAUCAGCCAUGUGCCGGCUCUUCAUUUCAGGACGACAAACGCAACCAUCAGGCAGACCAGAUGGUCACGUUGGCCUGACACCUUCUCUCCCUGCGGGGGAGUUCUGUGGAAAGCAAAAUGUGACGAAGUGGCUUGGUGAGGUUAGGGCCAGAGCAGGACGUCUGUGUCCACUGUCUAUAGCUGUCCCUCCUCCCUGUUU
rnacentral:lncRNA from 1 species